rnacentral:rRNA from 1 species
CCUACGGGGGGCAGCAGUAGGGAAUCUUUCACAAUGGGCGAAAGCCUGAUGGAGCAACGCCGCGUGCAGGAUGAAGGCCUUCUGGUUGUAAACUGCUUUUAUAAGCGAGAAAUAGGAUGGUAACUUAUGAAUAAGGAUCGGCUAACUACGUGCCAGCAGCCGCGGUCAUACGUAGGAUCCGAGCAUUAUCCGGAGUGACUGGGUGUAAAGAGUUGCGUAGGUGGCAUAAUAAGUAGCUAGUGAAAUCUGGUGGCUCAACCAUUCAGACUAUUAGCUAAACUGUUAAGCUCGAGACCGUUAGGGGUAACUGGAAUUUCUAGUGUAGGAGUGAAAUCCGUAGAUAUUAGAAGGAACACCAAUAGCGUAGGCAGGUUACUGGGACGGGUCUGACACUAAGGCACGAAAGCGUAGGGAGCAAACGGGAUUAGAUACCCGAGUAGUC